GAUGAAGAACGUAGCGAAAUGCGAUAAGUAAUGUGAAUUGCAGAAUUCAGUGAAUCAUCGAAUCUUUGAACGCACAUUGCGCCCGCCAGUAUUCUGGCGGGCAUGCCUGUCUGAGCGUCAUUUCAACCCUCAUGCCCCUAGGGCGUGGUGUUGGGGAUCGGCCAAAGCCCGCGCGGGACGGCCGGCCCCUAAAUCUAGUGGCGGACCCGUCGUGGCCUCCUCUGCGAAGUAGUGAUAUUCCGCAUCGGAGAGCGAUGAGCCCCUGCCGUUAAACCCCCAACUUUCCAAGGUUGACCUCAGAUCAGGUAGGAAUACCCGCUGAACUUAAGCAUAUCAAUAAGCGGAGGA
rnacentral:misc_RNA from 1 species